rnacentral:rRNA from 1 species
ACGCUGGCGGCGUGCUUAACACAUGCAAGUCGAACGCUGAAGGCCUGGCUUUUGUUGGGUUGGAUGAGUGGCGAACGGGUGAGUAACACGUGAGUAACCUGCCCUCUUCUUUGGGAUAACGCCCGGAAACGGGUGCUAAUACUGGAUAUUCACUGAUCUUCGCAUGGGGGUUGGUGGAAAGGUUUGUUCUGGUGGGGGAUGGGCUCGCGGCCUAUCAGCUUGUUGGUGGGGUGAUGGCCUACCAAGGCUUUGACGGGUAGCCGGCCUGAGAGGGUGACCGGUCACAUUGGGACUGAGAUACGGCCCAGACUCCUACGGGAGGCAGCAGUGGGGAAUAUUGCACAAUGGGCGAAAGCCUGAUGCAGCGACGCCGCGUGAGGGAUGGAGGCCUUCGGGUUGUAAACCUCUUUCGCUCAUGGUCAAGCCGCAACUGUGGGUUGUGGUGAGGGUAGUGGGUAAAGAAGCGCCGGCUAACUACGUGCCAGCAGCCGCGGUAAUACGUAGGGCGCGAGCGUUGUCCGGAAUUAUUGGGCGUAAAGGGCUUGUAGGCGGUUGGUCGCGUCUGCCGUGAAAUUCUCUGGCUUAACUGGGGGCGUGCGGUGGGUACGGGCUGACUUGAGUGCGGUAGGGGAGACUGGAACUCCUGGUGUAGCGGUGGAAUGCGCAGAUAUCAGGAAGAACACCGGUGGCGAAGGCGGGUCUCUGGGCCGUUACUGACGCUGAGGAGCGAAAGCGUGGGGAGCGAACAGGAUUAGAUACCCUGGUAGUCCCCGCUGUAGACGUUGGGCACUAGGUGUGGGGGCCACCCGUGGUUUCUGCGCCGUAGCUAACGCUUUAAGUGCCCCGCCUGGGGAGUACGGCCGCAAGGCUAAAACUCAAAGGAAUUGACGGGGGCCCGCA